rnacentral:misc_RNA from 1 species
AAACACAUUGGACAUGGCCCAUUAGUAGGGAGACAAGGUGGAACCCAAAUGUUCAAAAUUAUCACCAGAUUCAGUACUUAAACAACAACACAUAUAUACAAAAAUUUUGUCGUGUCUGUUGCAGCAGUCAUCCUUGUGUCAAGUCAAUAUCAGUGUGAGGGUUUCUCAGGUCAAAUGACCGUGAAACUGGCCAAACGUUCAUCGGCGAGGGAGUGAAAUUUUGUGGUAGAUUUAUAGGGAUUGUUGAUUUUGGGGUAGCCGACUUAUCACCAGGCUGGGAUGGAGAGUCUUUAUUAAGUUUGGGGCGCCCAACCUGUUUAUGUUUGCUCUUAGAACCUCCAUGCACAAAACU